rnacentral:rRNA from 1 species
CAGCCGCCGCGGGAAUACGUAGGUGGCAAGCGUUGUCCGGAAUUAUUGGGCGUAAAGGGCUCGCAGGCGGUUUCUUAAGUCUGAUGUGAAAGCCCCCGGCUUAACCGGGGAGGGUCAUUGGAAACUGGGAAACUUGAGUGCAGAAGAGGAGAGUGGAACUCCACGUGUAGCGGUGAAAUGCGUAGAGAUGUGGAGGAACACCAGUGGCGAAGGCGACUCUCUGGUCUGUAACUGACGCUGAGGAGCGAAAGCGUGGGGAGCGAACAGGAUUAGAUACCCCAGUAGUCCCUGUCUCUUAUAC